AUUUAAGGAGCUAUCCCAAAAUACUUUAGGAUAUGUAACUAUAUAAAACCUUCCAAGAAUGCAGCCCUCAUAGGAGAGUUAAAAUAAGGAUUUUAAUGGACUAUUUUGAUUUGGUUUGGUCUGGUUUGGCUACCUGAUUCCUGCUGUCUUUUUCCAUGCCAGCCAGAGAGGCACUUUCAAGAUCCUUCCCUGAAACCUGUACCAAUAAGACUAUACCAAUGUUCAGUUGAAACAUCAGGUAUAAGUUUGGCGGAAGCGAAAGGACAACCUGCUUUGAAAUAAAUUCCAAGGACAGAUUGUCAUUAACGAAAUAGAAAUUGGACUAUGCCCCUCAUGCUGCCAGCGCCUGGUAUGAUGCGGCGUGACGCGCAGCGCUUGCGGCAGUACAAUGCCCUCAAUCACCCGCCCGGCACCGACGCGCCGCCCACUCACGGCAAAGAGAGCCACCUAGUGAGGGAUUAUUCUCAUUUCCGCGAUACUGUUCUGGUUAUGAUGGAUACCACAAUGAAAGAGACCUGGUCCCUGUCUUGAGGGAACCCACCUGCUUGUAGAGAUCUCAGAGUGAUGAUCAGGAUGCAAUAUAAGGGAUGCAGUAAUUGGGGUUCCCCAACUCACAAUAAGCAAUACCUCUGAGAAAGUACCACACCUAAAAUUCUUAUCUGCGGAUUUAAUGGACACAAUCUGGAGAAGACAAGAAGAGAUGCUCAUAGGGAAGAUUGAAAAGUAUUGAAAAACCAAAAUAAAAACCCUAACCUCUCUUACUU